rnacentral:rRNA from 1 species
UUUAAAUUUAAUUAUAUUAUCAAAUUAGUAUUAGUUAAGUUCUUGAAAAUUAAAGAUUUUGGCGGUAUUUUAGUCUUUUCAGAGGAACCUGUUCUGUAAUUGAUAGUCCACGAUUAAUUGAACUUUUAUUUUUAAUUUGUAUAUCGUCGUAGUUGAAUAUUUUAAAAGAAUGAAAAUAUUCAAAAAUUUUUAUUUAAUUUAAAAUCAGAUCAAGGUGCAGUUUAUAUAAAAGGAGAAAUGGGUUACAAUAAAUAAAUUUAUAUGAAUAUAAAAAUGAAAUUUUUUAUUGAAAGUGGAUUUGAGAGUAAUAUUUUUAAUUUAAAUGAUAUGAUUUUAGCUCUAAAAUAUGU